GUCGCUGUGUCGUGGUUGCGGCGCGAGCCUCAGCGAUGCUCUGAGCCAUUAGCGUCAUCGUUCACCGUGCGACCACAGGAAAAGUGUCACUCAUAUGGGAGAAUCACAGUGGACCUGGAGAUUCGUGGUGGACGUGCAGGUCUUCAGCAACUGUCAUGGCAACAUGGACCACCGUCUCUGACGAACAACCACCGACGAGGCGAGGAACUGAGGCAGGUCAGAGGCUCCGACCCAGUGCAAGUGAGCAGCAUCUGAAGGCAUCAGAUCGAUUCCCAGCUGGGUGGCGCUCACACUGGUGGCCGCAUAUCGUGUGGUGGCCCAGGAACCACCACCUCGACAUGAUGGAGCAUGAAGGUCUCGCGGCAGAGAGGCUCGGGGUCCGGACGAGCACCAGGGUGCUGAAUAUACAGUGAACCCCGAUGACGACUCAGGCUUGUGCUGGGGGUCUGAUGGCAGGUUGAUGACGCCAAACAAUUUUCAGACACAGAAACAUUGCUCCCAGUGUCACAUCUGCAUAGUUGCACUUGGACCUCUAUUGACCUCCACCGCCGUUUGAGCGGCGUUUCGCCACCCGAGUCAGAAACGGUCACGCUUGUCAGCCAGUGACCUCUAGUGGCUGAGCUGAGUAACACCGCUGGACUGGGCAACUGGCGUGUUGGCGGGAAAACAGAACAAUGACUCCAUCUGCCGUUCUGAAGCCGCGCCAUCAAUGCUCGGCAUCCGAGCGCUCCAGACAACUAACGUGCGUGAUACUCAUCGAUACAGUUCGUUUAGGACUGGUUUACAGCAAAGAUAGAAAAUGACCACAUUGACUGACGAGUUGUGCUAAAUGCGAACAUAUUGCACAUAGGGACCUGACAGGGGGCGCCAGGAGAAAGGGCGGCGCUCUGUUGUUAGAGUCAGAUGGAAGUGGAAGAUGGUGAUUCAGCCGUGGUCACUGGAGGAAGAGGCUUGCUGAGCGUCCUGUGUGGGCCGAGUCAGCGGCCAGGCAGGCCACCCCUUGACGAGCAGCGGCCCACAGAGCCCGGCGGGCCUGCUCCGUCUCUUCCCGCGGCUCAGAUGAGCAGGCCGUGCCACCUGGCCACCGGCUGACGCACGCACCUCAUCAUGAGUCUCCAGUGGACGUCCUCCAGGCUCUGGUCUUUGCCCACCGUGGUUUGACCAAUUAAGUGCUUGUUUGAUUUCCGGGUGGCGUGGAUUUCAUAGACUGACACCAGAAUUUUGCACUGCUCAACAGGAAACUCUGGGAAGAAGAAGACACGGACGUCGUUGAAGACCGUCACCACGCUGCGCUGUACGGCUGAGGUCUUCUGGUAUCGCAGCUUGAGCUGGUUGCACUGCACGGUGAUCCUGGCGUACAGCACUGAGGACGGGCAAGGCGGGUCAGCUGGCACUGGAUGGAAUUCCAGACGAAGAACCACUCACCAGCCUCCGAGCAGAUUUCUGUGGAGGAAGUUCUGACCUUCAGCAGCCCCACCUCCAACCUCUGGGAGGUGGGCAUGAACUUCAGGGACAGCAGCACUUCUCCAACAAGGUCCUGUCCAGAGGAAUUACGGCAAAGGCAGGGUCACCUCUGUUGCCGGGCCACUGACCACUGCGUGGAGAGAGCUUACCUUCUGAGGCACCUGGAGCUCUUUCUGCAGCUCCAGAUGGCUGGAGAGGCUGAGCUGCUCCAGAGGGAGCCUCACCUGGCCCAGCACGGCGUUUCUGGAAAGCGCGUUGAUGUCCUUCACCUGCCAUGAGAGAAAGAGCUUUGUUUUGACCGAGGGAAGGAAGCGCAGCAGAAUCACCUCUGCACAAGGGCUAUUGUGGAAGCGCCUGAUUGACUUCAGGACCAUGAUGGGAUGUGAAGGCUCUACUGAGGAAACAGCUGAACUGGUCUCCGAACAGGCAGCUGCAGCUGCUGGUGACGAUCCGAGUCCUCCACUCCCGGAGUACAGAGCACAGGACCGGCGCGGCUCCGCCCCCCUGCACGUGACCCAGAGAAGCCAGCGCCGCGUGAGCUCGUAUCUGGACCGGUACCGGCUGACUGGCGCCUGCCGUCUUCCGGCUCACGUCUCAGGAGCAGCAAGCGCCGAUGCGUCCGCAACAAUCCUGACCGACGCAUGAAAACAAAGGUGCUGAAAAGCGGCGACCCCUGCAGCGAAUGUUGAGACGUCAGAUGAGCUGAGCCAGAGGGCAGAUCUUCUCACCGUCAGCCUCGAGGAGGAUGUUCUGAGCAAGUCUCUCCAGGAGGCAACACGGUCUGCAGCGACGCCAACCCCCCGGGUCAGGUGACGUGACGGUCACCUGACCCGCUCCUGGCGAAUGAGGCUUGACAAUGACAUCAGCGCGUUUAUCUUCAGAUGUUUAAUUGAUGGUCUCCACAGACAGAAUAAACCAACAUUGAAAACCAAAUCAGAGCAGAGGACAGGCAGGCUGGAGGUCACAGAGGUCACGUACACCUGGUGGCUGCUGGCUGUGCACUUCUCCAGGUGGAACUCGGGGGGUGGGGUUUCCGGCACAUGCACCUGGCCUUUGAUGGCAGGCAGCUGGACGUGUGGUGGAGCGGGGCGUGGAGAGAGGGAGAGGGCAGCUCAGGCGAUGGGCUCCCGGCACAGCACCAUCUCCAGCUCGCUGCGGUACAGCUUGCCUCCGUCCGACAGACUCAUGAUGCUCUGCUUGUAGCCCCUCAGGUUCUGCAGGUCCACCUCCUGGGGACGGAGAGAGCGGUCAGAGCCGGCGCCAUGACACGCAGUGCGUCAGGCGGCGCUCACCAGCUUGUGUGUCUGGUACAGGUCCCGGAGCAGAGCGUCCAGCUCCUGCUCAUCGAUGUAGCCGUUGCUGUCCUGGAAGCACAAGGCAGAGGUCGUGAUCUGGCGGUCAGCUGAGACCGGACCCGGGGCCUGCUGGACUUCACACAUCUGGCGCUGCAGGUCACAUGACCAGGACGCGCGUCUUUGUGUUAAAUGAUAAACUGGAAGAUACAUCGAUUAUGACUCAUAUUUUUUAUUCCAAACACACGUGACAUUUUUAGAUGAAAGACAUAUGACAUUUUACAUUGCUACUUUUAAUUUAAAUGAUCAGUUUUAUUGUUCUUACAUUUCAGCCUUGGUAACAAAGAACCAUUGAAAUAAUUAUUUGAUUAAAAAAAAAACUUUGGCCUUGGGUCCUUAUGAUCCACGACAGUAAAAAUAGGUUUCUGGUUGUCAUGAAAAGGAGAUGAAGUAUCAUAUCUCCUUUUUUUCCUUCCCUCAUUUUCAUUUUCCACAUGUUAAGCAGGUGAUAACUGGGAUUCUGAGCACCUUAUUUCGCUUCGUGACCUUUUACAUUCUUUCCUUGCAUGUGCUUAGACGUGACAUGUGUGUUUUCUGUCCUGCUGCGGCUGUGUUUACUGUGUCCAGACCGUGUCCCCUGACGGAGUCACGCUUCUCUAUCACCUGGCCUCCACCCUGCUGCGCUCUCUCCUCCACCUCUGUCACCUCCACCUCCCUCUGUCAUCAGCAAACAGCUCACCCACCUUGUCGUAGUAUGUGAAGAUGGAGUUGAACUGAUCCGAGUUGAGCUUGAUGCCCUUGAAGGAGAGAGUGAAGGUUACUGCCAGAGUCCCGAGUCGCAGAGCCGUCAUGUGACUAGCCUCACCUGGAACUUGAGGAGGAAGUUCUCCUGAAUGGGCAGCAGCCUUGGGAGAGAAGCAGCUUGGUGAGUGGACGUGUGAGGACGGAGGUCAGGUGUCUUACCUGGCCAUCUCUGACAGGCCCAGCUUCCCGUCUCCGUUCAGAUCAAACAUCUUGAGCUGCAGCAGCAGAGGAGAGAAGAAGUAGGACCAUGCGAGGACCGAAGAGAAUCUCAGGCAACAAGAGGCGUCAGCCGUCUGUUCCUCCAGCACGUCAGCGAGACGGACGUUCAGCUGGAGCUCCUCACGAGGAGCCCGUUUGUUUCAAUCAAGGUGGGUUUGUGUCGUUACCACGGCAACCAGCUACCAGCUAAAAGGGUUGCUCACGUCCCAAAUACUCAAACUGAACUUGACUCGUCAGCUCACCAUCAGCACACUCUUGCUAAGCUAACGCCAAGCUAAAGAUGCAGCCUUCUCCUAGUCUAGUCUCCGCCUGCUAACGCUAAGCUGUCGCUAAUCCAACAGAGCGGGUCCUGCAGUGUGUGUUCAAUAGUGUGCAAGUCACCGUGGGAGUAAAUCCACGUAUAUUGUUCUAUGUCCACAUUUACCCGUGGGUUAUGGCCUUCCAUGAGAGAACAGUCACCUGGGACAGGGAAGGUUCAGUCCGUGCCUGGACUGGGUUCACAACGGAAGCUAACCUCCUACAGACUUGACCUGACGACUCCCUCAACUCGGUUUUCAGGAAAAUCAUGUAAAAACUGAGAGAUGAAAUCCUGCUGAUAGGCCACGUUCCAAAAGGAUGGACAAGCAGGUGAGGUGCGAUCUGGCGCGGGAGUCUUGGUGGAGUCUGAGGAAGCAUCCUGCUGGUCUUCUGCAGGCAGCUUCUCCCAGAGACCCUGGCGCCCGAGCCGCCUUGGACAGUGUCUUCAGAGAUGUUCCACAGCUUCACACGCAGGAGUUGGUGCUUUGUCAUGUCGCGCUGCUCUUUCUUCUGACGUCGUAUCCGAUCUGAGCUCAGUGUGGUCCCUGUGGGACCUUCAUGUCUUUCCGCUUCUCUUCCUCGAUGAAAUGAGGGCGAGUCUUUCACCCAGCAGGUCGACUGUGCCGCAGAUGUCGGCACAUCUGGGCUGCUAACCGUCAACCUGCAGGAGGGGCGGGGCCUGCGAGCGCUCCGACGAGCAUCGCCGCCGCCACCAGCACUUUGGGCCGGGCCAGAUGGAGCCGGCACAGACUCUGGCGCUGAUGUGAAGCUCCCGUGUUCCCGGCUGGACUGUCCUUCAGGGGAAGGAACAUCUGCUCGGCAUGUGUGGAUGACGUGCCACCAGGUUCCCUCAGAGACGCCCGCUCCCCGGGAGACCACGGCGGCCCAGAUCUUACACCCACUGUUGGAAAAGUGGAGGAGGAAGAUCCGGCUCCCAUCCAUCCAACACGUUGGGGUACCCCUCAGGGUCACAUGACCUCUGAGCUGGUGCUAACCUCGUGAAGCAGCUGGCUCAAAUGUGUGUGUGAGUGUGACUCUUACAAUGGUCUGCGUGUACUCUUGAAGCUUCUUGUCGUCGUAGUGUCUGUUGGCCUUCUCCAGCAGGUCCGACAGGAAACCCUGCGUCGGAGGACAAGAACGGUUACUGAUGUGUGGAAGGCAAAAUCCUCACUGAUGAACGGGUGACAGUAACGGCCACGAGUGCGGAGGGAGGGGAAGUGGCUGCAGCGGCGGGUGACCUCAUGUGACCUGCUGCACACCAGCACCUCCUCCUCCUCCUCCUCAGGUUCGGCUGCGUCCCGUCUGGUCGCCACUUUACUCAGGUCUGGACUCAUUCGCUCGUCCUCCAUCGCUCCAGCUGGACCUCAAGUUUACUGGGGGUCCGGAUGACUGAGAACCUUUCACCGUGGACCACAUGGUCUCCAACGUCUGACACCAGUCCGCCCCACACAGGACGGUGCCUCCCUGAGACUGAAGGCUCAAAGAUCACAUGACCAGAAGGUGCUGUCAGGCUGGGACUCUUUAUUGAGGCGCACGUGAGCAGAGAAGGUUCGAGAGCUCUACUGCUAAAGUGACGACACCUUGUUAGUGGGGACUGGGUGGCGUCUGUGUGAGGAUGGGAGACCAUGACAUGGGUGAGAGCUGGGAGCAGAGCGUGUGUGUGGGAGCCAGGCUCACGUACCUUCAGCUCGUUGGCCUCGAUGUAGCCGCUGCGGUCCGUGUCGUAGCGGCGCCAGGCCUGCAACAAAGCACAGCGCCACGUCACAGUGUGGUCAAACGUGCUGGUCACCUUCAGCAUCUCCCCGUCGUGUUAAAGACUGCCAGUCACAUCUCAACUGAAGGAUCUGUGAGGGUUCUGGGCUGCAACCUACACCGGCUCCUGAAGGUGGAUGCUGGAAGGCAUGGACCUCCCCUUCACCUGCAUCAUCCUUGGUCCAGACUCAUCUCUGAUCUGAUGAUGGCUGAACAUCGGAGCUGGCCCUCAGGUUCACCUGGAUCUGCUGACCUGAAGAUCAAGUCUGUGGAGAGUGUGCCCUGCAUCUGAGGAGCUGUUGAUUCACGACUGAAGGAUCAGCACCUCCGAGGUGAGAGUCAUGGUCGUGGCCCUUGGGUGGAGCUCUGUGGAACUGCUCGACACCGGCGUCAACAGGCAGCUGUGGAGGCUUCCUGGACGGCCUCCUCUGAGGCAGGAAGCUCCUCAGUUAGAUGAUCUGUCUCUGGCAGAGGGAGUCAGAGAGCGUGAACUUUCAUCUGCUGCUGGCGUCUGGAUCUGGCAGCGAGACCCGUGGUCUGUGGAGCGGGUUCCCCCUCCCUGGUGUUUGUGGUGCAGAGCAGCGAUCGAGGGGUGACACCAGCAGCCGGACGGCCGGUGUAAUCUCCCAGGAUACGAGGGGGGGGCGGGGCCAGGCGUUUUAAUGAAUGUUUUAAUCUAGCAGCUGCCUGUCCCAAGCCGGGCUCCUUAUCAAAGAUGGAUGGUGUUGCCCACAUCUCCUCCUCUGCAGAGGGGAGCUACGCUGCUCUCAUCUAUUAUACAUGACCCUGAAAAUAGAAGGUCGGCUUCCUCCUUCCACCCUCUGAAAGCCUCUCUGCCCUGCUGUCUCGCGGAGGACCACUGCUGCAGCACCAUGCUAGCGUGGAGGACGGUGGAGGACCAGCCCUGCUGGAGAUGGUGGAGGACGCUGAGACAGCAGGCUUUCACUGGAGGAGUGAAGGCUGAAGGCUCUUCACGGUCCAGCGUCACGGCGUGAGUGAGUGACGAGUCCUGCGGCGCUGACAAGGCCAGGCUUGGUGGGACUUUCAUGGACGCAGACAUCAGAGGCAUCAGCUGAUGAGAUUCAGCCGUAAGACACGCACAGACGUCAUUUCCAGCGCGCCGCUUUCUUUGUAAAGGUUCUAGUAGUUUGAACUGAGCAUGUUUGGGAAGGUAUCCUCCCUCCAGAUCUUCCGGGUGCAAAUGUUUCUUUCCUCUUUUCCUCAAGCUGCAGUUGUUUUCAAUCGAAAUUGUUCCUCUAAAUACAUAGUUCAGUUCUUUUUUGCUGUAUUUUUAAAUUAUUGUUCAUAAUAUCAAGAAUACUUUUUUUAUAUUUUGUUGGAAAAACCAAAGGUUUUUUUGCCUGCUCGCACCUGGAAUGUCUGAGGCUGACAGUUAGCAACUAGCUUGUAACAAGAUGGCGUGCUGCGCUCGGCUGCGCUGACCGUCACGGUGGCUGUGAGACCCUCACGAGUCGAACACGGCGCCCACGUAUCGGGACUCCAGUUCAGAAGGAGUCCUCACUCCCAGAGGAUUCCCCAAGAUUCCCAGAGCAAGUCACACGACCCUCACUCUGGACCUGUUUCUCCUCCUGCUUCUUCUCUCUGUCAGUGUUGAACUCCGGCUUCAGACCGCGGCAUCCCGCCGAGCUGAGGGCGGAAACUUACCGCCAUGAACUCGGCGCUGGAGCUGACAAACUGUCGGAAGCAGAGCAGGAAGUUCUCCUCGGUGGGCAGAAUCUGGGCCAGCUGCGGAGAGAGAGAGUGGCAGAAGUAAGAUGGUGGAGCUGUGAGAGCAGAGAUGGAGGCGAGGGAGGCGCCUGCCCCAAAGUCUCAGAUGGGAAGCUCAGACAUGAAUAAUAGAGACCUCAGGAACACGGCGAGCAAGGAGGGUUUCAUCGCCUUCCUUCAGGUCCAAGUGCCAUUAUCGGCUCGGAAUCAUCUCACCCUCCGAUAUUCUCACACCAACCCGCUAAUGGUCUGAUGAUGAUGAUGAUGAUGAAGACCAUGUUUGUGGAAUCGAUUGUGCGAUCGACCGUAAGCCGUGAAUCUGGCUCGGACGGUUUCUCACACUCAUCCGUUCUUCAACGUCAGAACCCGACUGGAAGACGACCCGAACCUUGCGUCCUACCGUGGCUUUAAAAGGGGCGAGGAGACGGCUGAGUCUGGACGUCUGAGCUCUCACCUCCGACAUCUCGAUCCUCCCGUCCUUGUUCUUGUCAAACUUCUGCAUGAACUCCUUCAUCUUUUCUCUGAAGGUCGGGUUGGUAGGAUCCUGGGGAGACAGUGUUCAGUCAGUGCUGCCCUCUGCGGGUCAGUGUCCGGGUGCUGAGGUUAGCUGUCCGUCCACCUGAAGCAAGAGAGAAAGGCAGGUGGAACUCACCACUCCCGCGCCUCUCCGGGCCGACUCCAGCUCCCUGAAGAAGUUCUCCAGCUCCUUCCCUUCGAUGUAGCCGUUACCUGGAAGACCACAGAACCCCACAUCAGCUGGCGCUCUCCUGCACCUUCUCACCGUUGCAGUGCUUCAUGACAACACAUAACGCUGAUGGAAAUGUGAGCUGAGCUCCUUCAGGUUCCUCGAUGACACAGACUGGCUGGUGAGAAAUGAUCUCCAUUUGAAGGUUAGCGUUGCGAUGCUGCGCUUAGUUCAACUGAGAUCCAUAGCUAUUUGAUCCAGGAUCCGUUUUCACCUCCAACCAAAUCAUUUUCUAGCAUCUCCAGAACAUGAGCCUCUUGGAGACCGUCGGCCCAAACCACAUGACCUUCCUGCUCCAGAAUAGCCCUGACAAACAUCCAGCUAGCACGGGUCCAGCCACAUCUCCACACCCACCCACCGAGGAUUCUGCAAGUCUGGACCCCAUUCUGCUGUUCACUGAGCCUUCAGCUCCACCGACUGAACUCCUCCAUGAGGUUCAUGAAAGCUUCCAUCUGACCGAGGAUUGAAUAACACCUCAGACUGAAGCAUCCAUCAGCUCUGACUGGACCAUGCGGACGCCUCCCGGGCUCCUCUGGCCUCCACAUUAUCUCCACACCUCCAGCACCACAUGCUCUUCCUCUCCAUCUCCAGCCCUCAAACCCAAGUCUGAGACGAA